UACGGAGGAGGCAAGCGUUAUCCGGAAUUAUUGGGCGUAAAGCGUCCGUAGGUGGUUUAGUAAGUCUGCUGUUAAAGCGCGGGGCUUAACUCCGUAUCGGCAGUGGAAACUACUAGACUAGAGUGUGGUAGGGGUAGAGGGAAUUCCCAGUGUAGCGGUGAAAUGCGUAGAUAUUGGGAAGAACACCGGUGGCGAAGGCGCUCUACUGGGCCAUAACUAACACUGAUGGACGAAAGCUAGGGGAGCGAAAGGG
rnacentral:rRNA from 1 species